GGUGAAUGGACCAGGAAGCGGCGCGCCUGCGCAGUGAUCCGGGCGCUGUACGGAGCGCACGGCUCACGUCAUCAUCACGCACCCCGGACCGGGAAGGACCUCUCCGCGGGGGACCUGCGGGCGUGCUGUGGUAGCGCCGCGCUGGUGCUGCAACCCUGGGCCUGGCGGAGAUGCUGCAAGCCCGAGGGGCCUCCCUUACGGGGCAGCUGAAGCUCCCGUGCGCGCGUCUUCCGACUUCAGUGGGUGUCGGCCCUCCCCGCUGACAGUGCCCGCAGCGACCCUAACCGCGGGCCUCGAGUGUCGGGACCCAGCCAGUCCGCGGGAUGAGGGCUGCGGGGAGGCGUGGGGCGUGGGCGUGACAUGGAGGCCGGGACUGUCACUCCCUGGAAUAAGUCCCCAGGGCUUUGUCCGCCUCUUUCCUAGCUUUCACCCUGGGCCCUGGUGGCGCACACCUUCAGUCCCGGCACGCGGCAGGGAGAAGCAGGAGGCUCUCUGUGGGCUCCAGGCCAGCUGAUCUACAAAGGGAGUCCAGGACAGCCAGGGCUACAGAGAAACCCGGUAUCAAAAAGAGAAAAAAUCCUCCGUGCCAAGUCUGCCCCGGAGGGGGGCGGGCUGCGAUGAAGUCGAGGUGGCGGCGCAGCGGCCACUCACGUUUUCCAGGCACGCCGUGGCUCCGGCAACAUUCAUUCUUGUCUGUCUCCAGCUUUGCCACCGCGGAUGUUCCCCGAAGUUGUGUCUGUUCCCCAGGGGCCUACAGGGCCAGCGCCCACGUGUCGGGAACAGUGAUUGCCGGCUUCCAGCCCGGACCCCACUUGGUCUAGGAAACACUGCCCCACGUGUCGUGACCACAUGGCACUGUCAGACAGGUAGCCUUUGGGGUCCAACACUGGCUGCUCUUCAGUCUGCUCACACGGCAGGCCCACACAGGCAGCAACUGGCGAUCACGUCUUGGAGAGUCCCCCCGGCCUUUCCCCCACAUCUCUCCAAGAGGCUGCACGCUGCGGCUCCUGGCCCAGCCGUCCUCCUCACUCUGCGGCCUCCUUCUGUCCCCCACCACCCAGGCCGCUUCUCCAAGGCAGCAGCACGUAAAGUUCUGGAAUCCACCUGGAUGCCAUCUGUGUGGCCGCCUUCACGGCAACAAAACUGAGAAGCCGCCUCGGAGACCUUGGGACCUCCAUCACUCUCCUUUUACAGUCAGAGACCUUGGGACCUCCAUCACUCUCCUUUUACAGUCAGAGACCUUGGGACCUCCAUCACUCUCCUUUUAUAGUCAGGAGCUGGCCAGGCCUGUGUCCAACGGCUGGUUUCUUCUCAGACCUUGAGUCGGGACAGCAGAGUGCCACCUCGAGCUGGCACGCACAGUGCGCCAGGUUAAGCUGGUGUGCUGCCCGGGGGAUGACGAAUGGGGACGGGUGUGCGCUCUCCUCAGCCACCACUUCACAGAAGUGAGAGCUUCCCUCUGGCACCUGGUGAAGCCCCACCUCUGCCUCUGGUGUUUGUUGGAGGAUGUUUUGUGCACUGAGUGCUCAGAGGCCGAUUUCUGUGCCUGGAGAUCGGGCUGCAGGCCAGCUGUGGGCACUGACAUUCCCAUGUAUAACGAAGCUGGAUCGCCAAUGACUGGGCAGAGGAAAUAGGAAGGCUGGACUUCCAAUCCCAGGAGGGCCAGGAGGAGAGAGGAUCGAGAAAAGAGGCCAUGAGGAGGAUGAGCAGGAGCUCACCAGGACACAGCUACAGAAGGCCAAGGGGAUUCUCCUUACACUUGAAUCCAAGCCUCUGGGGAUAAAAGAUGCUGUGCCUCCAACGCUCACUGCCUCAGCCCAGCGAGACGCUGUUGAGGACCUUCCUGGUUGACUCCGGGCUCUAGCUGGAAACCAGCUUGUGGCUCCGCAACGCUGCGGCUUUCUGUGAACUCUGGCAGGCUCCCUCCAGGCCUGAGCUGAGCUGAGGACAGCACAGGAGAGGGACAAGAGGCUGCCGGAGUGGCCGUGACAGAGGGCUGAGGAUGGUAAGGUGGCCACCGCGGCCACGGGACUGGGCAGACCGCCUGUCCAGCAGCAUUCAAACCCCAGCACUUCCUGUGUUGUGAGCGCAGGAGCCACUGUGCGGCCUCAAGGUGGGAGAGUAGCUGCCAGGGGCUUGUCCCUACCCCACCCUGAACUCCCGCAUCCGUCAACCUGCCGAGCAAGAGCUUUGCUUGGUUUUUGUUUUCCAAGACAGGGUCUCACUAUGUAGCCCUGGCUGUCCUGGAACUCGCUCUGUGACCAGGCUCACCUCAAACUCAUAGAAAUCCUCCUGCCCCUCCUCUCAAGUGUUGGGAUAAACUAUCACUGCACAAUUCUUGAAA